UGGCAGUUCACCAUCAAUGGUUUAAGC
rnacentral:piRNA from 1 species